rnacentral:rRNA from 1 species
UACAGAGGUCUCAAGCGUUGUUCGGAUUCAUUGGGCGUAAAGGGCGUGUAGGUGGCGCGCUAAGUCGAGUGUGAAAUUUCGGAGCUUAACUCCGAAACUGCAUUCGAUACUGGCGUGCUUGAGGACUGGAGAGGAGACUGGAAUUUACGGUGUAGCAGUGAAAUGCGUAGAUAUCGUAAGGAAGACCAGUGGCGAAGGCGGGUCUCUGGACAGUUCCUGACACUGAGACACGAAGGCCAGGGGAGCAAACGGG